AAUUAUGGACAUUGGUGGAGACGCCGACCCAGUCAGCCCGCGUGUAUUAUGUAGGCCUUCGCGAUGUAAAUUACUUUUCGCAGAGAAGAAAAGGUAUCUCCUAAUCCGGGAUACUGCUGUCGGUAUCGCCAGAAUAAGCAUCGGCGAACUACGUGCCAGCAGCCGCGGUAAUACGUAGGGUGCAAGCGUUAAUCGGAAUUAGUGGGCGUAAAGCGUGUGUAGGCGGUUCGGAAAGACAGAUGUGAAAUCCCAGGGCUCAACCUUGGAACUGCAUUUUUAACUGCCGAGCUAGAGUAUGUCAGAGGGGGGUAGAAUUCCACGUGUAGCAGUGAAAUGCGUAGAUAUGUGGAGGAAUACCGAUGGCGAAGGCAGCCCCCUGGGAUAAUACUGACGCUCAGACACGAAAGCGUGGGGAGCAAACAGG
rnacentral:rRNA from 1 species